GUGCAGUUCUAGAGCUGGCAGCAGCUCAGUCCUGGAGGAGGCGAAGGACCUGAAGCCGCCAUUGAUUCUGUCUGAGAAUCUGUGUGACUGGAACAUGUGCUACAGAAGACACAAGCUGCAAAAAAAAAAAAAGAAGACACAAGCUGCUUACCUCCUGUGUCAGGGCUUGUCAACAGAUCUCAUGUAUCUGGCAGUUUUUUUCUAAGACAUGCAUGGCACAUUUGGGUGUCAUUCAUUAACUUGCCCAAUAGACAGGAGUGUCUGUCUUAGGAUAAAUUUAUACUUGCAUAUGUUAUUAUUAAAUAGUAUUAUAAUAAAGGAUGGUGUUUAUAUCAA